GCAGUCGAGCGGACAGAAGGGAGCUUGCUCCCGGAUGUUAGCGGCGGACGGGUGAGUAACACGUGGGUAACCUGCCUGUAAGACUGGGAUAACUCCGGGAAACCGGAGCUAAUACCGGAUAGUUCCUUGAACCGCAUGGUUCAAGGAUGAAAGACGGUUUCGGCUGUCACUUACAGAUGGACCCGCGGCGCAUUAGCUAGUUGGUGAGGUAACGGCUCACCAAGGCGACGAUGCGUAGCCGACCUGAGAGGGUGAUCGGCCACACUGGGACUGAGACACGGCCCAGACUCCUACGGGAGGCAGCAGUAGGGAAUCUUCCGCAAUGGACGAAAGUCUGACGGAGCAACGCCGCGUGAGUGAUGAAGGUUUUCGGAUCGUAAAGCUCUGUUGUUAGGGAAGAACAAGUGCAAGAGUAACUGCUUGCACCUUGACGGUACCUAACCAGAAAGCCACGGCUAACUACGUGCCAGCAGCCGCGGUAAUACGUAGGUGGCAAGCGUUGUCCGGAAUUAUUGGGCGUAAAGGGCUCGCAGGCGGUUUCUUAAGUCUGAUGUGAAAGCCCCCGGCUCAACCGGGGAGGGUCAUUGGAAACUGGGAAACUUGAGUGCAGAAGAGGAGAG
rnacentral:rRNA from 1 species